rnacentral:rRNA from 1 species
CCUACGGGCGGCUGCAGUAGGGAAUUUUGCGCAAUGGGCGAAAGCCUGACGCAGCAACGCCGCGUGAUCGAGACGCCCUUCGGGGUGUAAAGAUCUGUCAGUGGGGACGAAACUUGACGGUACCCACAGAGGAAGCACCGGCUAACUCCGUGCCAGCAGCCGCGGUAAUACGGGGGGGGCAAGCGUUGUCCGGAUUCAUUGGGCGUAAAGGGUGCGUAGGCGGCACUGAAAGUCUGGUGUGAAAGGCAGGGGCUCAACUUCUGUACGGCAUUUGAUACUUGGGAGCUAGAAUGCGGUAGAGGUAAAGGGAAUUCCUGGUGUAGCGGUGAAAUGCUUAGAUAUCAGGAGGAACAUCGGUGGCGUAAGCGCUUUACUGGGCCGUAAUUGACGCUGAGGAACGAAAGCCAGGGUAGCAAAUGGGAUUAGAUACCCGGGUAGUC